GACGAACGCUGGCGGCGUGCUUAACACAUGCAAGUCGAAUGGUAAGGCCCUUCGGGGUACACGAGUGGCGAACGGGUGAGUAACACGUGGGUGAUCUGCCCUGCACUUCGGGAUAAGCCUGGGAAACUGGGUCUAAUACCGGAUAGGACUCCUGGCUUCAUGGUUGGGGGUGGAAAGCUUUUGCGGUGUGGGAUGGGCCCGCGGCCUAUCAGCUUGUUGGUGGGGUAAUGGCCUACCAAGGCGACGACGGGUAGCCGGCCUGAGAGGGUGACCCGUCAAACGGGGGCUGAGAGACGGCCCAGACUCCUACCGGAGGCACCGGUGGGGAAAAUUGCACAAUGGGCGCAAGCCUGAUGCAGCGACGCAGCGUGAGGGAUAACGGCCUUCGGAUUGUAAACCUCUUUCAGCUAUGGCGAAGCGAAAGUGACGGUAGUAGCAGAAGAAGGACCGGCCAACUACGUGCCAGCCGCCGCGGUAA
rnacentral:rRNA from 1 species